rnacentral:rRNA from 1 species
CAUAAGACCACAGGAGGACAUCCUUCAGGGGUCAAAGGAGCAAUCCGGUAAGGGGUGGGCUCGCGUCCGAUUAGAUAGUUGGUGAGGUAACGGCCCACCAAGUCGACGAUCGGUAGCCGACCUGAGAGGGUGAUCGGCCACAUUGGGACUGAGACACGGCCCAAACUCCUACGGGAGGCAGCAGUGGGGAAUAUUGGGCAAUGGGGGGAACCCUGACCCAGCAACGCCGCGUGAGGGAAGAAGGUUUUCGGAUCGUAAACCUCUGUCCUUGGUGAAGAGGAAGAGACGGUAGCCAAGGAGGAAGCCCCGGCUAACUACGUGCCAGCAGCCGCGGUAAUACGUAGGGGGCGAGCGUUGUCCGGAAUGAUUGGGCGUAAAGGGCGCGUAGGCGGCCUCUUAAGUCUGGAGUGAAAGUCCUGUUUUUAAGAUGGGAAUUGCUUUGGAUACUGGAAGGCUUGAGUGCAGGAGAGGUAAGUGGAAUUCCCAGUGUAGCGGUGAAAUGCGUAGAGAUUGGGAGGAACACCAGUGGCGAAGGCGACUUACUGGACUGUAACUGACGCUGAGGCGCGAAAGUGUGGGG